rnacentral:pre_miRNA from 1 species
ACUGGGGAGGGGGGGUGUCUCAGCCUGGAUUGCAAGAGGGUGCAGGCCAGGCCAAGGGACCCCACUGGUGCACG